AGAUUGAACGCUGGCGGCAGGCCUAACACAUGCAAGUCGAGCGGCAGCACGGGUACUUGUACCUGGUGGCGAGCGGCGGACGGGUGAGUAAUGCCUAGGAAUCUGCCUGGUAGUGGGGGAUAACGCUCGGAAACGGACGCUAAUACCGCAUACGUCCUACGGGAGAAAGCAGGGGACCUUCGGGCCUUGCGCUAUCAGAUGAGCCUAGGUCGGAUUAGCUAGUUGGUGAGGUAAUGGCUCACCAAGGCGACGAUCCGUAACUGGUCUGAGAGGAUGAUCAGUCACACUGGAACUGAGACACGGUCCAGACUCCGUACGGGAGGCAGCAGGUGGGAAUAGUUGGACAAGUGGGACGAAAGCCUGACUACCAGCCAUCGCCGCGUGUGUGAAGAAGUCUUCGGAUUGAAAGCUAACGUUUAAGUUGGAAGGAAGGCAAGUUACCUAAUACGUAUUCUUAGUUUCG
rnacentral:rRNA from 1 species